UGGGGAAUAUUGCACAAUGGGCGCAAGCCUGAUGCAGCCAUGCCGCGUGUAUGAAGAAGGCCUUCGGGUUGUAAAGUACUUUCAGUCGGGAGGAAGGUGGUAAGGUUAAUAACCUUAUCAAUUGACGUUACCGACAGAAGAAGCACCGGCUAACUCCGUGCCAGCAGCCGCGGUAAUACGGAGGGUGCAAGCGUUAAUCGGAAUUACUGGGCGUAAAGCGCACGCAGGCGGUUGAUUGAGUCAGAUGUGAAAUCCCCGGGCUUAACCCGGGAAUUGCAUCGAAUACUGGUCAGCUAGAGUCUUGUAGAGGGGAGUAGAAUUCCAUGUGUAGCGGUGAAAUGCGUAGAGAUGUGGAGGAAUACCGGUGGCGAAGGCGGCCCCCUGGACAAAGACUGACGCUCAGGUGCGAAAGCGUGGGGAGCAAACAGG
rnacentral:rRNA from 1 species